AUUGAACGCUGGCGGCAUGCCUUACACUUGCAAGUCGAACGGUAACAGGUCUUCGGAUGCUGACGAGUGGCGAACGGGUGAGUAAUACAUCGGAACGUGCCCGAGAGUGGGGGAUAACGAGGCGAAAGCUUUGCUAAUACCGCAUACGAUCUCAGGAUGAAAGCAGGGGACCGCAAGGCCUUGCGCUCACGGAGCGGCCGAUGGCAGAUUAGGUAGUUGGUGGGAUAAAAGCUUACCAAGCCGACGAUCUGUAGCUGGUCUGAGAGGAGGACCAGCCACACUAGGACUGAGACACGGCCCAGACUCCUACGGGAGGCGGCAGUGGGGAAUUUUGGACAAUGGGCGCAAGCCUGAUCCAGCCAUGCCGCGUGCAGGAUGAAGGCCUUCGGGUUGUAAACUGCUUUUGUACGGAACGAAAAGACUCUGGUUAAUACCUGGGGUCCAUGACGGUACCGUAAGAAUAAGCACCGGCUAACUACGUGCCAGCCGCCGCGGUAAUAC
rnacentral:rRNA from 1 species